rnacentral:lncRNA from 1 species
AUUAAAAAAUCCACCAAUAAAAAUUGCACAUACAAUUUAAUCUCAAGCAAUUUUUAAAUAAUAUAAUUUAGUCUCAUAUAAUUUCGUUUUAAAUAAUGCAAUUUUUAUUUUAUGUGAUGAAAUUUAGUUUUAAAUAAUUUUAAAUGGUGUAACACAAUCAAGUAGUACAACUCAUUCUCUUUUUCUUCUUUUUGGUCCUUGACCUUUUCUAUAGCGACCAUGAUACGCGAUAGCCUUCCUUUCAUUCUCUGUAUCUUUUUUCACUAUUGCGAUCUCUCCCUCUCCGUCGUUCUCAAAUUCUACGGCACUUUUGUUAUCGUCGUCAUCCACGACCAAGCGCUCCGCCGCAGGCUCACCCCUGCGUCUUGUGCUAUAUUCGAGCAUGUACCAACAAAGAUGUAGAUAGGGUAAAAGAGUAUAGCAUGAUAUCAACGCGGGGGCGAUGUAAGAGGAGGAGAAGGAAAAAGAAGCGGUGACCGGGAGGCGAAAGAGAGGAAGAAAUGUCGAUGAGGAAAGAGACGAAUCAGAAGGGGAAAAACCAACGAUGAAAGAGAGAGAAAGAGAGAGAAAGAAACAAGAGUAUUUUAAUUAGUUUACGAAAAAUUCGGACCUAAUCUACAAAAUCCAAAAUAAUAAUCCGUUUUUGCAAACUCCUUGAAUUUUUUAAUGCAAAUUUACCUAAUUUUAUGUGCCUAAGCCAUCGGUUUGCAUAUGAUUUAGGUAAGCUAUAGCUUUUGGUUCUCAAACUAUAAAAUAUUUGAUAUUUUGGUCAGCAUAUUUUAAUUUACUAUAGAUUUUUUAUAAAAUUUUUAAGUUAUUAUGAUUAAGUUUCAUAAUUUAAUUGAGUUGACUAAUCAUUAAUGUGUUACUAUAUAAAAGUAAUAUAGUAGUGUUGUGAUUGAUGAUACAGUAAUAAUUAAAAUGUCACUUACUUUCACAUCAAUGAUAUGCUAAUAUUUAAUUAACUACAUUAAGUUAUGAGAAUUGAUUACAAUAUUUUAGAAAAUUCGAGCUAGAAAUUAUAAUAAAUUAAAUUUUAAGAACCAAAAUAUCAUGCGGCUCAUAGUUUGAAGACGAAAAGUAUAAUUUACCCAAUGUUUUCCUUUACAUAGUCUUCGCGGUUCAAUGACUUUAAAAUCUUUUUUGAACUUUUAGUAUUGUUAAAAAAAGGGAAAACUUCAAAAACCCCCCCGUGGUUUCGUAGUUUCUCACUUUGCCCCCUUGUGGUUUAAAAUAUAUCAAAUUGCCCCCCUGUGGUUUCGUUUUUAUCUUUUCGGUAACUUUUUCGUUAAUAUUUCAUUAAAUUAUAUACAAAAAAACUUCAGAUACCGAUCUAGAUUUAUCAAAUAUUCACUUUAGUAUCCUUUAUGUGAGGAAGUGAAUUCUCGAAAUACGAGAGUUAGACUUCAUGCAAAAUCGACCAAGGGUCGUGUUGGUGAGCUUU